rnacentral:rRNA from 1 species
AUGAGUUGUUUUGGAUGCAGUACAGUACCGUGUGUGGGCGUGCCAGCAACGCAGCCCACCCCAAAAUGUGAGCGACGACGGCAGCAACGCAUCCCACCCCAAAUGCGAGCGACGGCGAGGAUUUGCCAAUGCAGUGCAUGCAUGCACUUCAGCUUGUCUGUUUUGUUUGAAGAUUUUAUUACUUAUAAUGGCAGCGAUUCAUUUGUAAAAAAGUGGUGGAACUUCGAUGCAGCUCAUUCCAGAAAACUCUGUGGUUCAGUUCAAAAAUUGCGCCUCGGUUUUGUUGUUCUUGCAGUAGGGGGUAACAUCAAAAGGCAAAAAAAAGAAGUGAAAAUACAGAUGCAGUUCUCUGCCUAG